rnacentral:rRNA from 1 species
UACAGAGGUCCCGAGCGUUGUUCGGAUUCACUGGGCGUAAAGGGUGCGUAGGUGGUUGUGCAAGUCUGAUGUGAAAUCUCCGGGCUUAACCCGGAAAUGGCAUUGGAAACUGCAUGGCUAGAGGGUUGGAGGGGGGACUGGAAUACUUGGUGUAGCGGUGAAAUGCGUAGAUAUCGAGAGGAACACCUGCGGCGAAGGCGGGUUGCUGGGCUGACACUGACGCUGAAGCGCGAAAGCUAGGGGAGCGAACGGG